AGGUUGACCUCUGAUCAGGUAGGGAUACCCGCUGA
rnacentral:rRNA from 1 species